rnacentral:rRNA from 2 species
CACGCCGUAAACGAUGCUAACUCGUUUUUGGGGCGCAAGCUUCAGAGACCAAGCGAAAGUGAUAAGUUAGCCACCUGGGGAGUACGUUCGCAAGAAUGAAACUCAAAGGAAUUGACGGGGGCCCGCACAAGCGGUGGAUUAUGUGGUUUAAUUCGAUGAUACGCGAGGAACCUUACCAAGGCUUAAAUGGGAAAUGACAGAUUUAGAAAUAGAUCCUUCUUCGGACAUUUUUCAAGGUGC